CACUCACCAAAACCCGCUCCAAUUGCGCCAUUGUCUAUAACGAUCUGGGGAAAAAAGAGAUGAGAAAGACAUUAACGACGUGCAAGGGUUUCAGAACAGCCUGGCCCGGGACCACGCCAGCCUCGUUUCGCCUGGCCUGGCCUACGUUCCUUCUCCAUUACAAAGUGGUCCCAAACAAAUUGUGUGGGAUCAACUAAACUGUGCAGCCCCCUCUACUGCAGCAUACUCGCACUAUGAAGGGUUCUGCAAUAAGAUUCCACGAGUGGCGAGUUUUACUGCUGGUUUUGAGCUCGUCGUCAUCACACUCCAGCAUCUAAAGUCCUCAGGCACCCCAAGAUGGGGGCCACAACUGUCUGACCGGGAGACCACCGAGGCGCUGGGUUGCGGCUUUGCACGCCGUAGGGUGGCGACGAUGAGCCACCAAUGACAGCAACUCUGAGAGGUUUGCUCAAACUUUUACCACACAUUUAAUAUGGUACAUAUGUCAUUGUAAAUGUGGUUAAGUAUUUUAAAACACAAUACACGGACGGUACAGAAUGUAUUUUUAUGGGUUAGGAGUGGGCGGCUCUGUCUUGCUUGCUUAAAAGCAGGAAAUGCAGCAGAGUUCCUUGCCGCAUUUCUU